UACAGGGGGUGCAAACGUUGCUCGGAAUCAUUGGGCGUAAAGCGCACGUAGGCGGUUCGUUAUGUCGGAUGUGAAAGCCCUUGGCUUAACCGAGGAAGUGCAUCCGAAACUGGCGAGCUAGAGUACUAAAGAGGAUCGCGGAAUUCCCGGUGUAGAGGUGAAAAUUCGUAGAUAUCGGGAGGAACACCGGUGGCGAAGGCGGCGAUCUGGGUAGAUACUGACGCUGAGGUGCGAAAGCGUGGGGAGCAA
rnacentral:rRNA from 1 species